rnacentral:rRNA from 1 species
CUCGUUUCCAUCUUUUCCUCGUCUCUGUUCAGUGAAUUCAUUCGUACAAACCUGAAACCUGAAACCAAGAUCGAGCGGAAGCACGGCACCAAGCAAUGGAGGCGCUGCUGGAGCUAGAGAAGGUGCAGAGAGUGCUCUCCCUCAUGGGCUCCCGCGGCCUCUCCGACUCCGACGGCAGCGGCGGCGGGGACCGCUUCCUCGCCCACUUCCUCCUCUUCCUGGCACAACCGUUUGAUUCACUUGCCAUUGAGAAGAAGGUCGUAUUAAUCUCUGAGCUUUUGAGAGAGGUUAAUUCUGAUAAUCUCAAAGAAGUGCAACGUCUAGCCAGUCUGGAAGGUACUAAUAGGGAAGAUGAACCAACUAAGAAGUUCAAGACGGAUGCCGAGAAAUUAACCAUUCAGGAUGCGCCUAUGAUUGGAUUCGAUGCAAUGAUGAGAGCCAAUUCCACGCUUGAAGAUUUUUGCAGGUCAUACUUCAUAUUUCAUGGUUUGGAUGUUAACAGACCACACUCUGUUUUCAAGUUUCUUCCUUUCCUUUCUUUUACAGAGAGCUACAUAUACCAGUUAGAUGCUUCAAAUGAAGACAGUUUGCUAUUAGUUCCAGACAACAACUCUUCUUCAACAGUAUUGGAAAGGAAAAUACAAGGUUCUAGUCAGAUGUCCUUGUCUGACAUGCUUGACCCCCUUGAUAAUCUUCUUCAAUGCCAGGGGUUAAUGACAGAUCAAUUGCGAAAUGAACUCAAAUCUGGCAUCCAGUAUUGGUCUCUAGAGAGGAAGCUUUGUCAAGCAUUAUCAAGAAAUGAUAAGAUAUCUAUCGAAGAUGUUAUGGAAGCAAUCCAUCUCAAAUCAUUUGACUAUCGAGUUCUUAAUCUGAUGAUGUAUCGGCUUACUGGUCAGCAGGUCAAUGACUUGCACAUGGAGUUCUUGUCUGUCUCGGAAUUUUUAGUUGAGAUAUGUGAUGACCUGUAUGAUUAUGAGGAUGAUGUGGUUAACAAUACUUUUAACAUCCUCCGCAUGUUUGCUGCGAUAUAUGGACCUUUAGAUGCACCAAAGAUGUUGGCCAAGUGCAUCGGUGAAGCUGAGGGAAAAUAUGAGAGCUUCUCAAAGAAAUUGGACCCUAGCAUCUCAAGAAGUUACUGGAGAAGAUGUGAGGAGGCUACAAAGGAAGGUGGAAAAAUAUCAGGCCAUGCGUAUGGCACAUGGAAUAUCCCUCCUUUGAUAGGAGAUGAAGAAUCAUUUCGCUUUGACAGAUUGAACAGAGGUGAUGCUUCUGCCAUGGCCAUCAGAUGACAGAUACCAUGCUCUGAGCAUCUUCAAAAGGAGGCUUAGUUACCAUUGCUAUUAAAUGCCUUGCCAUGUGUGCUUAAUUUCCAUCCACUCCUGCAAGUUCUCUCCCUUUUUUUUUGCGCAUUCCACUCCUGCAAGUUCAAAUAGAGAAAUUAUCUGAGCAUCCUCUGUGUAAGGUGGCGGGGUGUGUUAACAUCUCAUGCAGUUCACUCAAGCAAAUUUCGCAAGAUUUUGCAUA